rnacentral:rRNA from 1 species
AUACGUAGGGUGCAAGCGUUAAUCGGAAUUACUGGGCGUAAAGCGUGCGCAGGCGGUUUUGUAAGACAGUGGUGAAAUCCCCGGGCUCAACCUGGGAACUGCCAUUGUGACUGCAAGGCUGGAGUGCGGCAGAGGGGGAUGGGAUUCCGCGUGUAGCAGUGAAAUGCGUAGAUAUGCGGAGGAACACCGAUGGCGAAGGCAAUCCCCUGGGCCUGCACUGACGCUCAUGCACGAAAGCGUGGGGAGCAAACAGGAUUAGAUACCCUGGUAGUCCACGCCCUAAACGAUGUCAACUGGUUGUUGGGGAUUUAUUUUCUCAGUAACGAAGCUAACGCGUGAAGUUGACCGCCUGGGGAGUACGGCCGCAAGGUUAAAACUUAAAGGAAUGGACGGGG